rnacentral:rRNA from 1 species
AUGUGUUACCGAAGUUCCUUUCCUUUGAGGGAAAGUACGUCUCCGUUGGAGCGGUGUGGAGGCAUAAUGCUCCCCAAGAAGCCACUAGGGCACCGUAUUCUCCUCACGCCCUCACACAAUGCAAGAUGCCGUGAUUCCACUAUUGGUGCCCAUGAAGGCAGCAACCGAACCUUUACAAACAAGGUUGCAGCUCUCUCCACAACUGAAUUGGAGGCUCCCAACGAAACCACAGAGCUUCACCAUAGUGAAAUGUGGCUCCGAGGUGACCUCAACCGUCUAGGGUGCUCAAACACCCAAGAGUAA